GGUCUUAUAUUCAUCCAGUGAUGAUAUGAGAAUGCAAUUCUCAAGGUGUAAUUAAAAUACUAAGACUU
rnacentral:tRNA from 1 species